UGAUCCUGCCAGUAGUCAUAUGCUUGUCUCAAAGAUUAAGCCAUGCAUGUCUCAGUACAAGCCGAAUUAAGGUGAAACCGCGAAAGGCUCAUUAAAUCAGUUAUGGUUCCUUAGAUCGUACCCACAAUUACUUGGAUAACUGUGGUAAUUCUAGAGCUAAUACAUGCAAACAGAGCUCCGACCGGAGACGGAAGGAGUGCUUUUAUUAGAUCAAAACCAAUCGGUGGCGGGCUCGCGCUCGUCAUCGUACAACUUGGUGACUCUGAAUAACUUUACGCUGAUCGCACGGUCAUCGCACCGGCGACGCAUCUUUCAAAUGUCUGCCUUAUCAACUGUCGAUGGUAGGUUCUGCGCCUACCAUGGUUGUAACGGGUAACGGGGAAUCAGGGUUCGAUUCCGGAGAGGGAGCCUGAGAAACGGCUACCACAUCCAAGGAAGGCAGCAGGCGCGCAAAUUACCCACUCCCGGCACGGGGAGGUAGUGACGAAAAAUAACGAUACGGGACUCAUCCGAGGCCCCGUAAUCGGAAUGAGUACACUCUAAACCCUUUAACGAGGAUCAAUUGGAGGGCAAGUCUGGUGCCAGCAGCCGCGGUAAUUCCAGC
rnacentral:rRNA from 1 species